GCAAAAAUAACAUAUUUGGUUGAUAAACUACGGAUAUCAACUAUAUUUAGCAGAAAUACACCGCAAAGGGGAUUGCCAAAAUUGCUUUAUGAAACAGAACAAAUCAUUCAAAAUCCAAAAUUCAUAUUUCUUUCCUCUCCAUUUAUCUAAAUCAAUAUCAAUUUUUGUCACCUCACAUAAUAUCAUGCAGAUGCAAAACCAAUGUAAGCCACAUUACCAAAAACAAUAUAAGCCACACGCUAAACAACCACAUUACUAAUCCAGCCACAAACUCAUAUCCUAAAAUUUAUCAUCCACCAAUAAAGCUUAAAACACAAUUACGCAUCAUCAAAAUAUAUGCUAACAAUCCAAAUUCCCAUCUCUUUCUCUAGCAAUUCUAAGCAACCAAUAAAU
rnacentral:misc_RNA from 1 species